rnacentral:lncRNA from 1 species
AGACCCGCGUGGCCCCUGCGGCUGCAACGGGUAGCACUUGACGGCCGUCCGCACUUCCUCCUUUGUCUUUCCCUUAUUCCUUACGUUUCUCCCUUGCUCACUCUUCCCUCCUUACCCUAUCGGGGCUGCAGACCCACGGAGGCCACGUUCACUCCUGCCCGUCGGCCUUGGCAAGCGCGGGCCCCUUGUCGCGCAGAGCGGAGGGUCCUGGGAGAUCCUGGGUUGGCCCAGCCACACCUUGCGCCGCCGCCGUUUCUGCUGGACACCAGGAGAAAACCACGGCAGCUGCAGCCACCAACUUCCCCUACAUAGCCCCACGGGAUCGGAUCCCACUCCCCACUCACCGCCAGACCGGAAGCAGGAAGGCGGAAGUCGCGGCCUUUGCGUCCCGCCCACAGGCGACCCGAGCCGCCAGCCGGGCCUUCUCCAUCAUCUUCCUCCACCUGAUUCGUAGAGACCUCUGGACAUCUGAGCCUAAGCAGGGCCACUAAAUGAGAGAGAAUCCCAUCACUGAAAAGCAACAAUGAAUAUAUUAAGGACCACAGGAGAGAUAGAAGAAAUAUUGCAACUGAAGCUGCUAGAUGGUUAUGAUUAUCUGAAUAGGUGUGAUCUUGACUUUAGCGAAUUAACAGAGAAUGGAAUCUCUCCACGUUGCCCAAGCAGGUCUCGAACUCCUGUACUUGAGCUAUUCUCCCACCUCUGCCUCCCUAAGUGCUGGGAUUACAAGCGUGAGCCACUGUUCAUGGCCUUAGGGACUUUUAAAUGUUAAAUUGAUUUUGACCUACCCAGGAGCUAGAGAAUACCAAUGAUUACAGAGGGGAGAAUAAAAUUGCCGUAUAGAUUUUCUGUGCUCCUUUAGAAAAUCCAUUCUGGAGUAAAGAGAUGGGCAAUUGGUCAACUGAGUUUCUUUCUUGUAUAAUAUGUCAGAGUUUGAUAUUGUCAGUCUGUUAACCAAGAUUUUUAUUGGGAUAUUUGCUGAAAGAGGCUCUAAGAAUAUCCCAUCACCAGUAAUUAGAAUUUGUUACAGGUUUCAGUCAGGGUAGUUGAAAGGGAGCUAAUUUGGUAACACAAUAACCUAGUACCCAACUAAUUCAGGAGCAUGAAGAAAAAUUGGUUGAUUAAGGCUUAAGUCAGAUAAAUAAUACUAUAGGUUGACAUGGCUGGGUUAGCUCAGGUUUGUAUAUUUGUUUUUUCAAAGAGGCAGACUUUUCCUAAGAUUAGAAUCCACAGUAAUGAUGGAAGCAGGAAACUUAGGGGCAGGCCAUAGGUGUAAAAUCAAAGUUGAGCUGCUUCUGUGUUACAGCUGUAAGCACAGGAAGUUGCCCAUUUUUUUCAAGCACUAUUUCUGCAUAGUCAUAUAUCAGCUAGUGUUGUCAACAUAGACACAAGAGACAAUAGGAAUACGUACAUGCAAUUCCACCAUCAGCUAAAAAACCCACAUAAGUCUUUGAAGCUCUCAAAUAACACGCAUGACACUGAAUGGUACAUUUUGAUGCACUUUGAAACUCUUAUCUCUUUAGUUGGUAAGUACAUUUGAACACUUAAUAUGUGCUCAGCAGAAGAGAAGGAGAACAAGGGAAGUCUAAUAUAAAAUCAGGAUUUUUUCUUUUCUCUUUGAAGCCAAUUAGAAUGUGUGUAUGUGUGUGUGUGUGUGUGUGUGUGUGUGCGUGUGUGUGUGUGUGUGUGUGUAUUAUUUAGUGUAGUAAUCCUUGGGUUUUUUUUAAAAAAACGUGUUUUACUAUGAAGUGUAACAUACAAGAAAGUGAUAACAUAUGACAUAUACAGCUUACAAAUGGUUGUAAGAAUUAAUACACUUUGUAAGUGCCACCCAUGGUAAAAAUAAGUAGGUGGAGAAGGAGGAGAAGAAAAGAAGAAUUUAACUAGCAUGUCAGAAGUCUCAUGGAUCUCUUUCCAGUCACAACCCUCUCACCAAGCUCGAUUCCUAUUCCCUGAGUAAGUUCUAAUCUUACUUUUCUUUUUUUUUUUUUUUUUGAGAGAGAGUCUGACUCUGUCACCCAAGCUAGAGUGGUGCAAUCUCGGUUCACUGCAAUCUCUGCCUCCUGGGUUCAAGUGAUUCUCCUGCCUCAGCCUCCCGAGUAGCUGGGAUUACAGGCAUGUGCCACCAUGCUGUGCUAAUUUUUGUAUUUUUAGUAGAGAUGGGUUUUCGCCAUGUUGGCCAGGCUAGUCUUGAACUCCUGACCUUAGGUGAUCCGCCCGCCACAGCCUCCCAAAGUGCUAGUAUUACAGGCAUCAGCCACCGUGCCCAGCCUAAUCUUACUUUUAAAGUAAUCAUUUAUUGCUUUUCUUUACAGUUUACCACUUGGAUGUGCAUCCAUAUGUACCAUAUACAACCAUAGAGUUUAGUGUUGUGUGUCUGGAAACUUUACAGAAUGAGGUCAUACUUUAUAUAUUCUUUUGUCUUGUUUCUUUCACUUGUUAUCUAUGAUGUUGAAUGUAGAUGCAGUCUGUUCAUUUUCAUUGCUAUGUAGUAUUCCAUUAAAUAAACGAC